AACCGGAUUAGAUACCCGGGUAGUCCACGCUGUAAACGAUGUCGAUUUGGAGGUUGUGCCCUUGAGGCGUGGCUUCCGGAGCUAACGCGUUAAAUCGACCGCCUGGGGAGUACGGCCGCAAGGUUAAAACUCAAAUGAAUUGACGGGGGCCCGCACAAGCGGUGGAGCAUGUGGUUUAAUUCGAUGCAACGCGAAGAACCUUACCUACUCUUGACAUCCAGAGAACUUAGCAGAGAUGCUUUGGUGCCUUCGGGAACUCUGAGACAGGUGCUGCAUGGCUGUCGUCAGCUCGUGUUGUGAAAUGUUGGGUUAAGUCCCGCAACGAGCGCAACCCUUAUCCUUUGUUGCCAGCGGUUCGGCCGGGAACUCAAAGGAGACUGCCAGUGAUAAACUGGAGGAAGGUGGGGAUGACGUCAAGUCAUCAUGGCCCUUACGAGUAGGGCUACACACGUGCUACAAUGGCGUAUACAAAGAGAAGCGACCUCGCGAGAGCAAGCGGACCUCAUAAAG
rnacentral:rRNA from 1 species